rnacentral:rRNA from 1 species
ACGGAAGGCAGCAGUGAGGAAUAUUGGACAAUGGGGGCAACCCUGAUCCAGCCACACCGCGUGAGGGAUGAAGGUCCUACGGAUCGUAAACCUCUUUUAUGUGGGAAUAAUUGUUGGUAUGCAUACCAACUUGAAGGUACCACUUGAAUAAGCACCGGCUGACUCCGUGCCAGCAGCCGCGGUAAUACGGAGGAUGCAGGCGUUAUCCGGAUUUAUUAGGUUUAAAGGGUGCGCAGGCGGGACAUUAAGUCGGCGGUGAAAUACCGUGGCCCAACCACUGGGCUGCCGUCGAUACUGAUGACCUAGAGUGCGUGUGAGGUAGGCGGAAUGUGGAGUGUAGCGGUGAAAUGCUUAGAUAUUCCACAGAACACCGAUUGCGAAGGCAGCUUACGAAUGCGUAACUGACGCUGAGGCACGAAAGCGCGGGUAGCGAACAGGAUUAGAUACCCUGGUA